rnacentral:rRNA from 1 species
GGCGACGACGGGUAGCCGGCCUGAGAGGGCGACCGGCCACACUGGGACUGAGACACGGCCCAGACUCCUACGGGAGGCAGCAGUGGGGAAUAUUGCACAAUGGGCGGAAGCCUGAUGCAGCGACGCCGCGUGAGGGAUGACGGCCUUCGGGUUGUAAACCUCUUUCAGCAGGGACGAAGCGCAAGUGACGGUACCUGCAGAAGAAGCGCCGGCCAACUACGUGCCAGCAGCCGCGGUAAGACGUAGGGCGCGAGCGUUGUCCGGAUUUAUUGGGCGUAAAGAGCUCGUAGGCGGCUUGUCGCGUCGAAUGUGAAAACCCGAGGCUCAACCUCGGGCUUGCAUUCGAUACGGGCAGGCUAGAGUUCGGUAGGGGAGACUGGAAUUCCUGGUGUAGCGGUGAAAUGCGCAGAUAUCAGGAGGAACACCGGUGGCGAAGGCGGGUCUCUGGGCCGAUACUGACGCUGAGGAGCGAAAGCGUGGGGAGCGAACAGGAUUAGAUACCCUGGUAGUCCACGCUGUAAACGUUGGGCGCUAGGUGUGGGGACCCUCUCCGGGUUUCUGCGCCGCAGCUAACGCAUUAAGCGCCCCGCCUGGGG